AUGACUGGACCCAGCAUGCCUUUCUCCGUUAGGAUUGGAGUGCGUCUUUGCGCGUAUUUAACUAUACUGCUGAUCCUCCCUGAACACGGGCGUCCUCAGUGUUACAACCCCAUGCCCAGGGCUCCAGGACCUACACCCCCCUGCUGCAUGGCAGUCUCAAAGUCCCACAUUAAUAUGCCCAUCGUCUCCUGCGUUGAACAGAGGCAGAGCACAUUUCGUCACUGCAGGAUACACGCAUUCAUUUUCACCACUGCCAACAAAACAGACCACUGUGUGGACCCAGCGGCCACAUGGCUCCCAACGCGAUUCGAAAGGUUACAAAGGAGACAGAUCUGUUGCUACCAGCUCUGACGGGCUCCUUAACAGCCAGGAGGAAGAGGACGCAACGUGAAAUCUACACGUUUACUCAUUUUGGAAGAUCAGUGUACAACUUUGAUCUAUUUAUUACAUACCGAGAUAUUUACCAUGACUUUGGAAUUAUCUCACUGUACAGCUAUUUACACAAACCUUGUAAAUCUGUGGGGGAUUUCAAAGUAAAGUCUGAUAAAUUCUUUAUGUUUAGGGAACAAUGUCUAAAGGCCAGAUCAGGCAGACAUGUUGACAUUUUUAUGCAAUAGAGGACUUUUAGUGUAUCAAGUAGAAGUAUGGUAAUAUUUUGUAUUUUUGUCAAUGAAAAGACCAAAGCUGAUGGUUUUGUGUAUGGGCUCAGUCAACCUCUGAAAUAUCUAUUGUUGUCCAAAAUGAUUAGCAUUAUUAAAGACACUUAGGCGAGGUCAGCUGUUACACUCUUUGUUCUUUCAUGUUGGUGAAAGAAAUAAAUGAAAACUGCAGACAUGAUCUUUGCAUUUUCAAAGGUUUUUUUUUUUGCCAGCUGACGUCCAAACAGCUCUUA
rnacentral:lncRNA from 1 species